UAGGGAAUCUUCGGCAAUGGACGAAAGUCUGACCGAGCAACGCCGCGUGAGUGAAGAAGGUUUUCGGAUCGUAAAACUCUGUUGUUAGAGAAGAACAAGGACGUUAGUAACUGAACGUCCCCUGACGGUAUCUAACCAGAAAGCCACGGCUAACUACGUGCCAGCAGCCGCGGUAAUACGUAGGUGGCAAGCGUUGUCCGGAUUUAUUGGGCGUAAAGCGAGCGCAGGCGGUUUCUUAAGUCUGAUGUGAAAGCCCCCGGCUCAACCGGGGAGGGUCAUUGGAAAAUGGGAGACUUAAGUGCAGAAGAGGAGAGUGGAAUUCCAUGUGUAGCGGUGAAAUGCGUAGAUAUAUGGAGGAACACCAGUGGCGAAGGCGGCUCUCUGGUCUGUAACUAACGCUGAGGUUCGAAAGCGUGGGGAGCAAACAGG
rnacentral:rRNA from 1 species